rnacentral:rRNA from 1 species
UCGGGAAUUUUGGGCAAUGGGGGAAACCCUGACCCAGCAACGCCGCGUGAAGGAUGAAGUAUUUCGGUAUGUAAACUUCGAAAGAAUAGGAAGAAUAAAUGACGGUACUAUUUAUAAGGUCCGGCUAACUACGUGCCAGCAGCCGCGGUAAUACGUAGGGACCAAGCGUUGUUCGGAUUUACUGGGCGUAAAGGGCGCGUAGGCGGCAUGACAAGUCACUUGUGAAAUCUCUGGGCUUAACCCAGAACGGCCAAGUGAUACUGUCGCGCUAGAGUGCAGAAGGGGCAAUCGGAAUUCUUGGUGUAGCGGUGAAAUGCGUAGAUAUCAAGAGGAACACCUGAGGUGAAGACGGGUUGCUGGGCUGACACUGACGCUGAGGCGCGAAAGCCAGGGGAGCAAACGGGAUUAGAUACCCCUGUAGUCCUGAGCGGGCUGGCAAGGCGCAU